AUGAGUAGUACAAGCUGUGCAAUCUUAAGUUGGAACAUCAGAGGGCUGAACACGCCAGCAAGACGAACUGCCGUGCGAGAGAUAGCAGAGGCGCACCGGGCAAGUAUCCUCUGUCUGCAGGAGACUAAGCUAGAAUCCUGGACACCCAGCAUUGUUAGAGAGCUGGGAGGAGCCAAAUUGGAAGGGUGCGUUGUUCUCCCUGCGAGUGGCACAAGAGGAGGAGUUGUUGUUCUAUGGGACAAGAGCCUGGUCAGUUUUGUGACACACGCAGUUGGAAACUUCUCAAUCACCGGAAAGGUGUAUCUGAUCCAGGACAGACUCGAGUUUUGGCUCACAACGGUCUACGGACCAGUCGACGACACGCGCAAAGAUGUGUUCCUCGCUGAAAUGGCUCACGCUGCACCACCACAAGGAGAAACCUGGUUGUUGAAUGGAGAUUUCAACAUCAUAUAUGAAGCACGCGACAAAAACAAUCUCAACCUGAACAAGAGGACCAUGGGCAUGUUCAGAACAGCGAUUGACAGAGCAGGUUUGAAAGAGAUCAAAUGCAAAAAUAGAAGGUUUACAUGGACAAAUGAGCGGCUAAACCCAACGAUGGUCAGCAUUGAUAAAGUGUUUUGCAACUCGGAAUGGGAUGCCCUCUUCCCCUCAUUCAUGUUGAUGGCCUCGGCAACAGCUUGUUCAGAUCACUGCCCUUUGCUGCUUGCCAACUCUGCGGCACCAUGCAAAAGGGCAGCAUUUUGCUUCGAGUCUUUUUGGCCACGCUUUCCUCACUUUCAGGAAACAGUUGAACGAGCUUGGCAGCGCCCAGUUAAUCACACCUGCCCAAUCAUCAGACUCAAGAAAAAGAUGCAGAGGACAGCGCACGAUCUGAAAAUUUGGGCAAAGUCUCUUUUUAGCGAUGCAAAGACCCAGUUCCACUUGGCGUGCGAAGUAAUAUUGAGGCUUGAUAUAGCUCAAGAAAGAAGAGGCCUGACGCCACAGGAAUUCUGGUUAAGGAAACAGCUAAAGCUUCGGGUUCUUGGAUUGGCUGCAGUAGAGAGAGCAAGGAAGAGACAGGUUUCAAGGAUAACCUGGCUCAAGGCGGGAGAUGCAAGAACGGCCUUCUUUCAAGCAAAGAUCAACUCCAGGAGGAGGAAGAAUUUUAUUCACUCCCUGCAAAUAGAAACAAGGACAGCCACUGCGCACGAGGAGAAGAAAGCAAUUGUGCACGAUCACUUUGCAAAUCUGCUGGGGUAA
rnacentral:rRNA from 1 species